rnacentral:rRNA from 1 species
CAGUAGCCGCGGUAAAACGUAGGGUGCAAGCGUUAAUCGGAAUUACUGGGCGUAAAGCGUGCGCAGGCGGUUUGUUAAGACAGAUGUGAAAUCCCCGGGCUUAACCUGGGAACUGCAUUUGUGACUGGCAAGCUAGAGUAUGGCAGAGGGGGGUGGAAUUCCGCGUGUAGCAGUGAAAUGCGUAGAUAUGCGGAGGAACACCGAUGGCGAAGACAGCCCCCUGGGCCAAUACUGACGCUCAUGCACGAAAGCGUGGGGAGCAAACAGGAUUAGAUACCCCGGUAGUCCCUGUCUCUUAUAC